GGCGGACGGGUGAGUAAUGCAUAGGUAACGUGCCCCUUUAGUCUGGGAUAGCCACUGGAAACGGUGAAUAAUACCGGGAUACUCCUUCUCACUUAAUGUGAGUCGGGAAAGUUUUUCGCUAAGGGAUCGGCCUAUGUCCUAUCAGGUAGUUGGUGAGGUAAGAGCUCACCAAGCCUAUGACGGGUAGCGGGUCUGAGAGGAUGAUCCGCCACACUGGUACUGAGACACGGACCAGACUCCUACGGGAGGCAGCAGUGGGGAAUAUUGCACAAUGGACGAAAGUCUGAUGCAGCAACGCCGCGUGGAGGAUGACACAUUUCGGUGCGUAAACUCCUUUUAUAUGAGAAGAUAAUGACGGUAUCAUAUGAAUAAGCACCGGCUAACUCCGUGCCAGCAGCCGCGGUAAUACGGAGGGUGCAAGCGUUAUUCGGAAUCACUGGGCGUAAAGGGUGCGUAGGCGGUUUGGAAAGUCAGAUGUGAAAUCCUACAGCUUAACUGUAGAACUGCAUUUGAAACUUCCAGACUAGAAUACUGAAGGGGCAGAUGGAAUUAGUGGUGUAGGGGUAAAAUCCGUAGAUAUCACUAGGAAUACCGAAAGCGAAAGCGAUCUGCUGGGAAGUUAUUGACGCUGAGGCACGAAAGCGUGGGGAGCAAACGGGAUUAGAUACCCCGGUAGUCCACGCCCUAAACGAUGAAUGCUAGUCGUCGGAAAGCUCGUCUUUUCGGUGAUGCAGUUAACACAUUAA
rnacentral:rRNA from 1 species